UACGGGGGGGGGCAAGCGUUGUUCGGAAUUACUGGGCGUAAAGGGCGCGUAGGCGGCAUGACAAGUCACUUGUGAAAUCUCCGGGCUUAACUCGGAACGGCCAAGUGAUACUGUCAAGCUAGAGUGCAGAAAGGGCAAUCGGAAUUCUUGGUGUAGCGGUGAAAUGCGCAGAUAUCAGGAAGAACACCCGUGGCGAAGGCGGCUCUCUGGGACGGUACUGACGCUGAGACGCGAAAGCGUGGGGAGCGAAGCAGG
rnacentral:rRNA from 1 species